rnacentral:rRNA from 1 species
UGGGGAAUAUUGCACAAUGGGCGCAAGCCUGAUGCAGCCAUGCCGCGUGUAUGAAGAAGGCCUUCGGGUUGUAAAGUACUUUCAGUCGGGAGGAAGGUGGUAAGGUUAAUAACCUUAUCAAUUGACGUUACCGACAGAAGAAGCACCGGCUAACUCCGUGCCAGCAGCCGCGGUAAUACGGAGGGUGCAAGCGUUAAUCGGAAUUACUGGGCGUAAAGCGCACGCAGGCGGUUGAUUGAGUCAGAUGUGAAAUCCCCGGGCUUAACCUGGGAACUGCAUUCGAAACUGGCAGGCUAGAGUCUUGUAGAGGGGGGUAGAAUUCCAGGUGUAGCGGUGAAAUGCGUAGAGAUGUGGAGGAAUACCGGUGGCGAAGGCGGCCCCCUGGACAAAGACUGACGCUCAGGUGCGAAAGCGUGGGGAGCAAACAGG